rnacentral:lncRNA from 1 species
GCAUUUCUGUAUAAUGACUCGUCCUCUUCACAUUGUUACCUGAUUUAUAUAUGCUUCCUUCAUCAUUGGGAGGUAUCAUUAACUUACAUGUUAACCAUAAUAGUUCACAUAAGCAGAUUCUAUAACUUGUAUCACAUCAGUUGCAAAUCAGAGAUCAUGUGUAAUCAAAAAUAACACACCCACAUACAUUCGACAAAAGUAAAGACAACUCCAUAAUUUAUAUGUCUGACUAGUCCACAGUGACACGGAAUACAAAGCUUAAAAAAUAACUAGAAAUUUCGUCCAGUUAUCUUCCUUUGGCAUCACAGGAUUACUCCAAUUUACUCUGUGCACAACAAAGAUAAUGACUAGUCCUCCCCUCUAGCCAUUUUCCACAGAUCCCUUGACGGAUGUCUUACUAUCACCAAACCUUAAAACCACACACACACAAACACAAAGUUUUUAAAAUCAAAUUCAUUCAAGUACUGAAAAAAUUCUCUCUCCCUCUCGAUCCAUACCUAACAAAUAUCCCCCACCCAGGCAAAGACCUCGUUUUGCAAGAUCAUCAAAGGUGAGCGAUGAGAAAGUCCCGCCUCCGCCCGUGGAGGCUACAAUCACAAAUCAGAGAUUUUUGUUUUACAUCCGAAUAUAAAACGAACCGAGAAUGGUAUAGAUCUGAGAACUUUACCGUUGCUGCUACCAGGCGAUGAAGAGAAAUUGCGGCGAGACCGAAUCGAUCUCAAGCCCUGUAAAAACUUUGGUUAAUCGAUGGAACACAGAAAAGGAGAAAGUAGAAAACAUAAUCAUAUAUCUCGAUCUACCUGUGCAACGAUAGAUCUCAGAUUCGGCGUCAUGACCUGAAACUAGGGUUUCACUUUUCUGUCUGAUUUCGUCAAGACGGGGCUUAAAUAAGUUUUUCUACGGUCGGUCAGGCCUUAGCCAGAGUUUAUGACCUUAUUAAUUCUAUUGUUGGGCCUUAGCCCAAUUUCUUUUCGGGCCCGGAGCUUAUGACCUUUUAAUCCGCCUAUA